UCGGACUGCAGUCUGCAACUCGACUGCACGAAGUCGGAAUUGCUAGUAAUCGCGGAUCAGCAUGCCGCGGUGAAUACGUUCCCGGGCCUUGUACACACCGCCCGUCACACCAUGAGAGUCGGUAAUACCCGAAGUCAGUAGUCCAACCUCGUGAGGACGCUGCCGAAGGUAGGAUUGGCGACUGGGGUGAAGUCGUAACAAGGUAGC
rnacentral:rRNA from 1 species